UACAGAGGGGGCAAGCGUUAUUCGGAAUUAUUGGGCGUAAAGGGCGCGUAGGCGGCCUGGCAAGUGGAAGGUGAAAUCCCUCGGCUUAACCGAGGAACUGCCUCCCAAACUGCUUGGCUUGAGACCAGGAGAGGUGAGUGGAAUUCCCAGUGUGGCGGUGAAAUGCGUAGAUAUUGGGAGGAACACCAGUGGCGAAGGCGGCUCACUGGACCGGAACUGACGCUGAGGCGCGAAAGCGUGGGGAGCAAACAGG
rnacentral:rRNA from 1 species